CGGCCUUUGUCUCUCGCUGCAGUCAGAGCUCCAGGUCUGGUUCUUCUCCUAAAGGCCCAGGCUGUGUGGCCCCGUGUCCUGCAGGUAUUGGGAGAUCCACAGCUAAGACACCGGGACCUCCUGGAAGCCAAAAAUGUUUGGGUCUAAGCUUACCAGGAUCAGCUUAGAUUGUGCGGUCUGAUCCCAGCCAAUAGGGGAUGGAAACAAAAACAGGAACUGCAUUAGGGUUCAAAACCCCUUUCUUGCUGGGCGCGGUGGCUCAAGCCUGUAAUCCCAGCACUUCGGAGGCCGAGGCAGGUGGAUCACGUGGUCAGGAGUUCUAGACCAGCCUGGCCAACGUGGUGAAACCCGUCUCUACUAAAAAUACGAAAACUAUCGGCGUGUUGGCACGUGCCUGUAGUACCAGCCACUUGGGAGGCUGAGGCACGAGAAUUGCUUGAACCCGGGAGGCGG
rnacentral:lncRNA from 1 species